AAAACCUCAAAUUAACCUAAUGAUGAGCCAUCUAACAUCUCCAACCGCACCUCUGUCACACGACAAAAAGAGAGAUGGGCGGAAAGAGAGAUGCACAGAGAUAACGAUAACAGAUCAAGGAAUGAGGGGAAUAAAUAGACUGGCAGAGAGAAACAGAAAUGUAUGGGGAUGGAAAGAGAUAAAGAGAGAUGGAUGGUCAGAACAAGAAAAAAAAAAGUUGACAGAGAUAGAAAACAACAGAGAAAGCAUCCAUAGCAAAAACCAGGAGGCCGUUGCCAUUCAGAGAUCAUGGAGGAGGGAGUGUAAUGGAGGCCCAUGAGAGCAUUUUCUUUUGAUGGCUUUACUAAAAUAAUGGGAUUCAGAGCACAAAUAAUAAGGUCUUGUAUUCAGGGUCGUCUUCCUAAGGUACUGUGCAAGAGUGGGAAAGGGGCAGAGUCUGCUGAAGUCACAGGCCCGUUGAUUCAACUGUUAUGGGAGUGGCCUAUCUCUCAUGACCACACCCACCAUAACACUUCUGAUGUUCAAGCUCCUUCCACAUGGAAUGUAGUUUGUUUUUAAAAAUCAGUAUUUUGUCAUUUAAUCAUUAUUUUUGUAAUUUAAAAAUCAGUAUUUUUCUGGUAGAUAUUGAAAAGUCAAUUUUAAAUUUUACUCAAAAUGCGAUAUUCGCAGAGUUAUUAGGUAAUGUUUUCUCCCUCUUUUUCCAAAACACGACAAACGCCAGUCUCCCUUGUUUGCAGAAUGCGAUAUAUCCGCUCAACCAAUCACAGAGCACCAUUCCACACACUGUAGACAGUAAUUGGCAGCGCUUUGAAAUCACUCUGCAUCUUAGUUUUCCUAAUCUAAUUUGUACUUUUUGAUCAACAAACAAGGGCUGCACAAUUAAUCGAAUG